AAUAUUUCAUGAGUAUGCUGGUCUUUUCACUAAAUAUUUUCUUGGUAAACUAAAUAUUUAUCUUGGAAUAACACCCAUUUUUUUCUGACUGACCAAAUAAACCAAAGUAUUGCUGUUGAUGUUUUACUGUUUAACUUUACGAACGGCGCCGUCAUCACAGGGAAAAGCACGAUUCACUGCAACCCGACAUGACGGAGGUUUAGCAGUUUAAUGGCCCGAAGCAAAAUCCUACAAUCACUUUUGAUUUUGCUUGCUGCAUAUCAUCGCAUUCCUCACAAAUCUCAGAGACGUGAUUGUGCUCUGACUUUAUUUUCAUGACCUAAUUAUCGCCACAGCUGUCGUGUUUUAUCCCAGGAGACGUUCACUAAAUCACUCUCUCUCUUGUAUCAGAAAUACAAAAAGGAAAAGAAAAAACAAGAAAUUUGUGGCACGUCGAAUACGAUCUCUGUCAUCUGGAGCCGUAGAGUCUCAUUUCAGUAACUGUUAGCGAUAGCGAGCUAAUCCUGGCUAUUGGCUCCUUCCCUCCUCCAGUAAUGAUCUUAUAAGCUUUACAUCAAUAAUUUUAUUGACCCGGAAGAUUUGCAUCAUAUAAAUGAUGUAAUAAAGCUAAAGAGCAGAUGUCUUUCUGGGUUUGUCUGCCAGAUUCAUCCUUUAAGAUGAAGAGUUUACAUAAACAGAACGAAACACACGGCAGUAAGUCUGAGAGCUGAAGGUCCAAAUUUCAGCAGAUUUUCUUUCUCUCAGUCUCACCUUUACGCAGCUACUUAUAUACGUGUGACUGCAGACACACCUUGAUCAUCUUAAAAAUAAUCAAACCUGUUGAUUAUUUUAAAUCAGCAGGUUUGAGUUAAUCUGCUGAUCCAACCUGUUUUCUUCUUCUAGUGAGAAUGAAAUGACUUAUAGAUGCAUUUUUGCGCUCCGGCACACGGACCAAUAUGUUGGAUCUUUACGAGACAAAAACUGAGAAGUACUAUUUACGUUCAAGUGAGGUUUUCGCAAACUUUUACUUUUAUUUUCUUUAUUUUGUGUGCUUGUAUGCUUAUUGUCUGAGGAUAAAUGCGGUUCAGUUUCAUUGUUUAUAAAAAUAAAAAAGCAUCGGGUUUGAUGCUUCUUGGUCUAAAUAACCGAAUGUCGUCAGAUUUCAGUGAAUCCAGGUGAGUUUUGACACUUUGUAUUCUGAUAUUGUUCGCACAUUUUCACGGCAGCAAAAAAGUGCUGAUAUUUACGCAAAAUUUGACGCAAAGUUAAUUUUUAUACAUGCUGACUUGAGCAUGAAAAAUAUGGCGCUGCACAUUUUUUGUGAGCAUGCUGCUUUAUGCAUGAGGAACCUGGUCUUUCUGAAGCUCCGCCUCCAGGAAGUCGUCCCAACAUGGCUCCUCUAUUAACCCUUUGAUGUUUUUACCAGCGCUGCUCUGAGCAGCAGCUCCUGUAAUGAGCUCAGCUGGUUGCUAAUUGCUGCUGGCUAGUCUGAAGGAUCUGAGUGGGGAAGGAGCUUCACCCUGGGGGCGGGGCUAGGUCCCUUCAGGUGUUUUAACAACUGAAUGGUUGCCAUGGAGAUUAAGGGAUUUCUCAAACCUGGAUGCAACACACCAGGGAAAAACAAAAACACGAUGGAAAGAUAAAACCAGUAAAUUUUUCAUUGAAACCAAAAUAAGUAAAAACCAGAAUGGAUUUUAAAUGGCUGAUUCUUUCCACCAAAGGAACUUUUUCUUCUGCUUAUUUUGUGUAUUUGGCAGAUAAAACGUGUUUUGAAGAGCCCAAAAACAAAGAGAAGAAAUUUCAGAGAAAAUUAAAGGGCAAAGAGAAACUCUGCUGCUUCAGCCACAAGCAGUCUGGAACCAGAUAUUUUAGCCUGGACGGAAAGUAGGCCGAGAUCUUCCCAUGAGGAGUCUCUCUACAUGCAGACAGGAGGGAGAUUUAUUACCCAGACUGCCCCGCGGGGAGCGCCGUCCCGUGCCCUGUCUAGGCAGAAUCGAUGAAGCUGAGGGAAGAGGAGCAGCAGGAUGAAGAUGAGAGUUCGGUGGACUCGGCUCUAUUGGGACCAAAGUUGCAUCAUCUGCUCCACCUCCAGCUGCUGUGGUUCCCCAACAUGUUCCCCUUCUCGCCUGUGGGGGCGCUGCAUUAAGAACCACUGAAGAAAACGACAUAAAAACUUCUGAAAACAGUGUAACUUCCUUCUUCACCAAAUGGAAACAAAAAUGAAGUGGAGUCAGAUUUUAGCAGUUGGAGGAUUUCUCUUUAGCCUUUGGCUAAACACCACAAGCUAACGCAUUUGUUUUGGUUGUAUUUACCCAGAAUGCACUGCACUGUUGUCUGCUUCCUUGCUUUUGGAGCGGUCUCCAGUCCACUUGGUGUUCACAUCUGCAUUUGAACUGAACCAGAGUUCACUUCCACUCUGGUGCGUACAAAGUUCGGACUCAAACCGGGACUAGAAGAACCGGUUUGGUUCCUUUGGGGAGGUAUGGAUGCUAAUCAAACAUUAUUCCAGAUCAAAAAACAAACUCCGGUCCACAAACCCCCGUCUUGGUUCGGUUGAAGUGAACUCUGGUGCGGUUCAAAUGCAUAUGUGAACACCAACCGGAGAUCGAUUCAGGUGUUUGUGCAGCUAUCUGCUAGGAAGUGCUAACCCAGAACAAAAAGCACUAGCGAUGAAACUGUUUACACAAUCAAAACAUUUUCUCACAUUUAAAAUGGUGUCUUAAAAAACUUUGAACAUCCAUUCAUUAGCAUCCAAUUGUUUUUGAUUUCUUGUUAGCUCCUGCUAGCGUCGCUAACAGUGUUAACUAGCUACCUUUGUAAACAGUUAAAUCACAAGCCAUCGUGUUAGCUUGUUUCAACAGAUAUCUCGUCUUUAACGGUUCAUUAAACUUCGAAUCCAGACAUUUUUGUCGGCACAUUAUCCUACAUGAUCUUGACUUCUUGUUUUGCUUAAAUUCUCCAGUUUGCUGUAACUUGUUAUUGACCCAGCAUGCAUUGCGCAGCUGAAAAAUAUAAUAAAGAUAUACAAUUUUUGAAAUUGUUAUAAAUUUUUAGGCAUCACAAACAACAACUUUUAGGUUAAUAUGAAAAUUACAACACAUUUAGGCAAACAUAAUCCCUUAAAAAAACGUUUAAUCCCACAGUUUAACAUAACUCAGGAGAAAAAUGGGCAGAUUUCAACGCGGCUCCUCAAAUCAUCCAGAUGUGACAUCACAGCAAUCUGAUUGGAAGGAGCUAAUAAAUAUGCAUGCCUAAGUUUUUAUUUGCACAGUCUGUACACUGCUGUCCUUAUCUUGACUCCAGAUUGUCAUGUCACCACUUGUUUUCUUGUUCUCGUUAAUUUCCCUCCAUUCACUUCCCUAAUUAACCCUCCCAGUAAUUAUUUACUCUUUGAUUCGCUCCUUGUUAUGCAGCUGAUGUCCUGGUAAUUCAGUCUGGUUUCCAGUUCGUUUAGUGUCUUUGUCUCCAAGGUUUCCCACUCUGAGUGUUUCUUCUGUCGUCUGCACGCUUCCUGCCUCUUAAAGAGCUUCAGUCCUUCUUUGCAUUUCAGACAUAAAACUGGUGGUGGUCCUGAACACUAAAGAGUAUUUAAA